rnacentral:lncRNA from 1 species
AGAUAAACUGUAAACAGCAAUAAUGUUCAGCAUAGUAAGAUUUACAAAUAAGUUAACAUGAACGAAAUGGUCAAUCGACCCCCUAAGGAGUUAUUGUCCUUAAUAGUCAAUUUUUAACAAUUUUCAUAAAAUUUGUAAAUUUUUACUAACAUUUUCCACUGAAACUACUAGGCCAAGUUCAUUAUAGAUAGAUAUAAUUGUAAGCAGCAA